UACCGAAAUGAUGUACUUAUUUAUGAGGGGUGGUUGGUGAUUUCUGCACAAACUGAACCGGUGCCUAAAUUACUCAAUUAAAUCCAUAGUACACCUCAUGGAGGACAGUGGCAACCAGACACCAACACCUGUAUGUAGCAUAGUGGGUCUGGGAGGGAUUGAGGAAUAUUUUGAACUUAAAGCAUGGGUUUAUGUUUCUGAAUAUUUUGAUGCUGUUGGAUUCACCAAAGCAAUUCUCAAGUCAAUUAUUCUCCAGCAGAUGAUGAAUCUAUUCUCAGUUUACUUCAACAGACAGAGACUUCAACACAUACUCAUAGGCAAAAAAUACUUGCUUGUUUUAUAUGAUAUCUGGAACGGGAAUGCAGAUUUUUGGGAUCUCAUGGAAGUAAGAUUAUAGUAACAACUCGUGACAAGGAGGUAGCAAAUGUUUUGAAAUCCACCAAGUUAUUUGAUUUAAAAAAAUUGAAGAAAAGCUAUUGUUGGAGUUUAUUUAUGACACAUGCAUUUCAUGGCAAAAAUGUGUGUGAAAAUUCAAACCUUGAAUCAAUUGGCAGAAGAAUUAUGGAAAAGUGUGGAGGAUUGCCUUUAGCUGUAAAAACAAUAGGCCAACUGCUGCGGAAAAAAUUCUCUCAACAUGAAUGGAUGAAGAUAUUGGAGACUGAUAUGUGGUGUUUAUCCAAUGGGGACAACAACAUUAAUCCAGUGCUGAGAUUGAGUUACCAUAAUCUACCUUCCAAUCUUAAACGUUGUUUUGCUUAUUGUUCUAUAUUUCCUAAAUGUUAUUGGUUUAGAAAAGGUGAUUUAAUCAGGAUUUGGAUGGCAGAAGGUUUGCUUAAGUGUUGCAGAAUAGAAAAAAAGUGCAGAAGAGUUGGGUAAUGAAAUUUUUGGUGAGAAUUUUGUAUGCCAAUGGACGCAUCUAAUGCGGAAGGUAUCCCUGAAAGAUGCCCAAAACGCAGCUUGCUUUGAAUGUGUUGUAUUCACAAGUGGCUGUGUGGAUGAUAUGGAAAAGACGUAAACUAGAAGAUUUGAGAAAGUACUGAGACCAAUCAAACUAUCAAUUUGCAUUGCUCAGGGAGAUGUGCUACACAUAAGGCAACAGUGAAAGUUCAGCUUUCAUCCUCGGCAAACUAUCAUCGCAGAAGGUGCUAAAAGGCAUGGAUAUAACAAAAUCGUAUGCAUCGUGAUUAUGUUCUUCCGGGUAAUUAUGCUCUCCCAACUCUUUCUUUUCUAAUAAAAUUUUCUUGAACAUAGAAAUUAACUCCUUUUUCUUCAUACCAGCAGCGGUCAAUGUAGACUUUUCUUUGGUAACCAAUUCUAUAAAUAAGAUUUUAUAGUAUAGAGUCUUCAUAUCAAGCUCAAGUUCAUCCACCUUAUGUUUCUGCAUUUACAAAUUUCAUUUCAAUUAUUAGGUAAGCCGAAUUUAAGAACCACUUCUAUUUAAACUAUUUUGUAAACUAACCUUUUUUUUCUCAUAACAAGACAGCCGAUAUUCCAUAAAUUCUGUAAGAACUGCGUAAUGAAAUAAUUCAAACAUGGUUAUACACUGCAUAAAAAAAAAGUAUAUGGAAAAGAAAAGACAGUUACAUACUUUCUUC